AGCCAGCCCCCGCCCCUGCCCUCCAUGGGCACCCCGGGGAAGGCAGGUACGGGAGACCGAAGUUCUCCCCCAGGGAAGCCUCUGUUGCCUGGUAACGUCUUUGAGUUCUUGGUCACAUCUGCUGUUCCCUGGUCCCGUUAGGAGUUCGAGGAGGGGCUAAAGGUGAAAAUACUGGGGCCUGUGGUCACAUGGACUUUGAGGGGCGAGUCUCAAGUAAAGCAGGAGACCCCAUGGGCCCGUUCCUAGACUGGCAACAGCUCAAGACCUGAGGCACCAUCUAGUUUGAUAACUUCUUCUGAAGAUGAAGAAACUAAGGCCUGGAGAGGUCAGCUUCACACACCCAGCAAGAAAAGAGGCAGAGCUCAAACUGAGGUUUAGUCCUUUCCAAUACUAUCCUCGUCCCAAGGGAUCAAGGAGGUGAC